rnacentral:rRNA from 2 species
GGUUAAGCGACUAAGCGUACACGGUGGAUGCCCUGGCAGUCAGAGGCGAUGAAGGACGUGCUAAUCUGCGAAAAGCGUCGGUAAGGUGAUAUGAACCGUUAUAACCGGCGAUGUCCGAAUGGGGAAACCCAGUGCAAUUCGUUGCACUAUCGUUAACUGAAUACAUAGGUUAACGAGGCGAACCGGGGGAACUGAAACAUCUAAGUACCCCGAGGAAAAGAAAUCAACCGAGAUUCCCCCAGUAGCGGCGAGCGAACGGGGAG